rnacentral:rRNA from 1 species
CAACAGCUCAAAUUUGAAAUCUGGCCUCCUCGAGGUCCGAGUUGUAAUUUGUAGAGGGUGCUUCGGGUGCGAUGCCGGUCUAAGUUCCUUGGAACAGGACGUCGUAGAGGGUGAGAAUCCCGUAUGCGACCGGCGAUCAAGCCCGUGCGAAGCCCCUUCGACGAGUCGAGUUGUUUGGGAAUGCAGCUCAAAAUGGGUGGUAAAUUUCAUCUAAAGCUAAAUAUUGGCCAGAGACCGAUAGCGGACAAGUAGAGUGAUCGAAAGAUGAAAAGCACUUUGGAAAGAGAGUCAAACAGUACGUGAAAUUGUUGAAAGGGAAGCGCUUGCAAUCAGACCGGUCCGGAGGUGAUCAGCCGCUGCUCGUCAGCGGUGCACUCGCCUGCGAUCCGGCCAGCAUCGGUUUGGGCGGCGGGAUAAAAGUCCCGGGAAUGUAGCUUCUCCCGGGGAGUCUUAUAGCCCGGGUCGCAAUGCCGCCCGCCCGGACCGAGGACCGCGCUUCGGCUAGGAUGCUGGCGUAAUGGUUGCAAGCG